AAUGGUAGAGGCGCGGCAAAGAUGAGUAUCCAGGCUUCGGGGCGGGCGGCCCUGCUGGGGAAAGGCUUGGCCGCCGAAGGGCCGUCCCGCCGCCCACGGGGCCGGCUGCCUGGGCUGUGGGAGAAUAUCCCCCAGACUGCCACAUGUGUGGAGCGUUAU
rnacentral:ncRNA from 1 species